rnacentral:rRNA from 1 species
GUUCAACGGCCGCGGUAUCCUAACCGUGCGAAGGUAGCGUAAUCACUUGUUCUUUAAAUGAGGACUAGUAUGAAUGGCACCACGAAGGUUAUACUGUCUCCUUUCUCUAAUCAGUGAAACUAAUCUCCCCGUGAAGAAGCGGGGAUAAAAAUAUAAGACGAGAAGACCCUAUGGAGCUUCAAACAAAUACACAACUGCCUAUUUCACUAAAAAUUUCAGGAGAAAAACACCUAUCCAGGCACUUUGAUGUAGAGUUUUAGGUUGGGGUGACCACGGAGUAAAAAAUAACCUCCGUAAUGAAAGGGAGUUUCCCUAAACUAAGGACUACAACCCUAAGUAUCAACAAAUUGACACCAAUUGACCCAAUACAUUUGAUCAAUGAACCAAGUUACCCUAGGGAUAACAGCGCAAUCCACUUCAAGAGCCCCUAUCGACAAGUGGGUUUACGACCUCGAUGUUGGAUCAGGGUAUCCUAGUGGUGCAGCCGCUACUAAUGGUUCGUUUGUUCAACGAUUAAAACCC